GCUCCAAUAGCGUAUAUUAAAGUUGUUGCAGUUAAAAAGCUCGUAGUUGGACUUCUGAUGCAUUGUUGCGGUCCGCCGCAAGGUGAGCACUGUGACGAUGUGUCUUCCUCUCGCAGGCCUUUGGUGCACUUAAUUGGGUGCCAUUGGAAUGUGGGACCUUUACUUUGAAAAAAUUAGAGUGUUCAAGCAGGCAACCGCUU
rnacentral:rRNA from 1 species